GGGAGUUGUGUUGUAGAAUUUCCCUAAACGAAGGAUAAAUUGGGUUCGUCUUCAACUUUAGGAUUUUCCUUGGGAAGCGUGACCGCGACUGUUAGGAAAAAUAUCAGUGUAACUAAUCUCCAGUGACUUGGCUAAGGUUAAAGAUUUGCGAGCAUUUGUAUGGGCAAGGUUUAAGGUGUAUACAACCAAGCCUUUUAGAUCUGUAGUGCCUGCAAAUUUCAACACACUUGAACAAAAUGGUGGGUCUGAAGUUUUUGGACAGAUGGUGGAAAUGACGUCGUUAGAUGAUGCGACGUUUGAAAUGGUGGUGAACAAAAGAACUCCAAUGAGAGAGACAAUGAUGAGACAAGAGUU